UGGGGAAUCUUGCGCAAUGGUCUAACGACUGACGCAGCGACGCCGCGUGUGGGAGGACGCCUUUCGGGGUGUAAACCUCUGUUGGGAGGGACGAAGAUCUGACGGUACCUCCUGAGGAAGCCCCGGCUAACUACGUGCCAGCAGCCGCGGUAAUACGUAGGGGGCAAGCGUUAUCCGGAUUUACUGGGCGUAAAGAGCGCGUAGGCGGUUCCGUAAGUUGGUUGUGAAAGUUCGAGGCUCAACCUCGAAACUGCGUCCAAUACUGCGGGGCUGGAGUGCAAGAGAGGCAAGUGGAAUUUGCGGUGUAGUAGUGAAAUGCGUAGAUAUCGCAAGGAACACCAGUGGCGAAGGCGGCUUGCUAGCUUGUAACUGACGCUGAGGCGCGAAAGCUAGGGGAGCGAAC
rnacentral:rRNA from 1 species